rnacentral:rRNA from 1 species
UACGUAGGGGGCAAGCGUUGUCCGGAAUCAUUGGGCGUAAAGAGCGUGUAGGCGGCUCGGUAAGUCCGCUCUGAAAGCCCGGGGGCUCAACCCCGGGAGGCGGGCGGAUACUGUCGGGCUAGAGUCCGGAAGAGGCGAGUGGAAUUCCUGGUGUAGCGGUGAAAUGCGCAGAUAUCAGGAGGAACACCAAUGGCGAAGGCAGCUCGCUGGGACGGUACUGACGCUGAGACGCGAAAGCUAGGGGAGCAAACAGG